rnacentral:rRNA from 1 species
GACGAACGCUGGCGGCGUGCUUAACACAUGCAAGUCGAACGGAAAGGCCCUGCUUUUGUGGGGUGCUCGAGUGGCGAACGGGUGAGUGACACGUGAGUAACCUGCCCUUGACUUUGGGAUAACUUCAGGAAACUGGGGCUAAUACCGGAUAGGAUCUCCUGCUGCAUGGUGGGGGUUGGAAAGUUUCGGCGGUUGGGGAUGGACUCGCGGCUUAUCAGCUUGUUGGUGGGGUAGUGGCUUACCAAGGCUUUGACGGGUAGCCGGCCUGAGAGGGUGACCGGCCACAUUGGGACUGAGAUACGGCCCAGACUCCUACGGGAGGCAGCAGUGGGGAAUAUUGCACAAUGGGCGGAAGCCUGAUGCAGCAACGCCGCGUGCGGGAUGACGGCCUUCGGGUUGUAAACCGCUUUCGCCUGUGACGAAGCGUGAGUGACGGUAAUGGGUAAAGAAGCACCGGCUAACUACGUG